CUCUCAGUUGCUCCAUGUACAGAGCCGUUGCGCCUUCUGCUACCUUGAACAUCCACUCGGUUGCAAAGAACUGUGCGUCCUCGUUGUUUGAAUCACCAUUGGUUGAGAUUCCUUCAGCUAGAGGCUCAAGCUGCUGAGGUAAAGUCAGGAGAUAUUAUCCAAUGCUUGUAACGUAAGCCUGAGGGUAUGAGCUGAAGUAUGGUAGAGCAAACACAGUUUGUUCCUCCACAGAAGACCAGAUUGGUAGGCGAGAUACUUCCCCGAGUCUUUGCCUGACUUUUGAUAUGAGGAUGUCAUAUACAAGUUUGUUCACUGUGUCCGCAAACGCAGCUACUCUCUGAGAUGCCAAAGGCAGUGCGUGGAACCUUGGAUCUUUUGACUGCAAAAAAAAAAAAAAACAGCAAAAGGAAAUGAUACAUAUGAACAGUGUAUAUUAAUUUAUGAAUCUUUGUCAAUUAAGACUACCUGUUCCAACAGGUUUAGGAGUUUGCGAGCCUUCUCCGGAACAUCAACCAACCGAAUAGCUGCCACAUCCAGGGAAGCUCGUCCAGCCAUAGACAAAUCUCCAGCUGUUUGUUCACUUGUCAAAUGUGACAGGUUCUGAUCCAGAUUUGUGCCAAAUAGUGAAAUAGACAAGCUGGAGUUUAGUCUAGCCAGAGUGGCUCUCAAAGAAGCUUCAAACACAGAAGACCUGCUCAAGUCAGCUUCUCACCGUCUUUAUAGGAGCUUUCGUCUAAUAUUUUAAGCCUUCUGGUGUUGUCAAUCGAGACAUGGUAACAUAAAACUGUCCAUGGGUAAAUACAGGCCGGGGAAGAUAUAAAGCUGACUUGCUUUAGGCUUUGGCCUUGACUUUUAUUUAUUGUCAUGGCAUAGCUAAGUCGGAUUGGGUAUUGCCGUCUACGAAGUUAAAAGGAUGUAUGCUGUCAGUUGGGCUUAGCUGUAUCCUAGGGAGUAAUAUUCGUUCACCAACUUCUGGUCCGGUCAUUUUUAUCAAAAAAAACAAAAAAAAACUUCUGGUCCGGUCAUAAUCUCCACUUCGACAAUCACCAAGCCAUGAUCCUGAUUAACGUUGCGCAGUGAAUUCAAAGGAGUAGCAUGAAUGUAGUUUACUCAAACCGUGCCCAAACUGAUCCGAUUCUAAUGUAUUUUAUAAAUUCCUUACUAACAUUUUCUUGUAUUCCUCCUGUGUAUUAAAAUAAUUUUAAAAUAAAAUCUAAAAAUUAAACCCGGCUGGAAUUAUUCAUACGUUAGUCUCCCAAUUAAUCUUGAAAUUUGAAUAGUUACAAAACAACUAAAAUUUUAAUAAAUCAACAAUUCCAAUUUAGUUAUAUAAUUAUAACUUUAUUUUUCUUAAUCUUAGGAAGAUUGUGAAUGAAUUUACUUGUUCCGUAGUCAUUUGUAUCUAAACCGAAACAUAUAGUAAAAAAAAAACUAAAUAUUAGGAAUUAGUAAAUCAGAGUAUUUCGGUUGGAAUGUCACGUAAGAUGAUAACUCGAAUAAUACUGAAAGUCUGUAUAGUAACUAAUUAUUUAAAUAUUCUAUUAUAUCAUUACUCAAAAGUUAGUUAUAGGAUGACAAAAAGUUUCCUUUUAGUAUUGUUAUGAUUUCAACGUCAAAAGCCAAAAACGCAAAGGAGUAGCAUGAAUGGAGUUUACUCAAACCCUGCCCAAUCUGAUCCGAUCACAAUUCUAAUGGAUUUUUCCACUUUUAUUUCAGUUAAAAGAAUUGAAAAAACUAUAUAAGAGGGAAUAAAUUGAAAUAGUUUUUUUUAUUAUUGACUGAAACAAAGAUAAUCAAAGUUGCGAAAGUACUGCAGAUAAAUAAGAAGUAUUUAAACUUGGAACAUGAAACCAUAACUGCUGGUAUCCAAUUUCUUGGCCAUCUUGGUAGAUGAGUGGGUCCUCUUCUUCGCCGAAGCAUCGGCUGGUUUCGCAUCAGUAUUCUUAUCUGCAUCAUUACUGCCUUCUCCAGUUUCAACACGAACAGUAACCGGACCACCAUCUGCCAUGUCAGCAUCAUCACCAUCGUUUCUCCCCUGAUACAUUCGGAAAGUGUUACAUACUAACAGACAUACAUAGAUAAUCAAAGGUUAGCAAAAUCACUCUUACCUUAACGACAAAGUCAGGAACUGGAACACGCUCAUGCUCUUAAGGAUGCGGGUGAUGGUGAGGUCUAAUGGUGUGCAGUGAAGUUAAACGUGCUAACUCUGACCUGGAAGGUGAAUGUUUUUCCUUCCAUGUCUGUGAUAAACAGCGGCACCUAAGAGUCCUCAGGAUUUACUCCUUCCUCAGCCUGUUCGUCAGAUUGAAAGCACCAUGUAUGUUAGCAUUUAUAUUUAAUAAUCCUUUAAGAAGACUAAUGCACAUCUUACCAACACUGACCGGCUUCACUUGCUCGGAGGUUAUGCAGCUUAGUCAUCACACCAUCAAAACACACGAAUGCACCUUCAACUGUGCUAUCAGCGAUUGCCAACUCCACACGAUAACUGACGGAUUUUACGGAAAAAAUGAAGACGUCCAUGCCUCUCCAAGGAUAGAAAUUAACGCCCUACAAACUUUCAGUUUUGAAUUAUUGCCUAUACACUAUCUAGCCCUUGAGUAAUUUGCCUAUAAUGAUUUCAAGAAUUUUAAUCAUAUUUUUCUUCCUCCCAACAAGCUAGGCAUUUCGAAUCGUGACUGUGACCAGUUUUACAAGUGCAUCACAUCCGUCUUCUCGAAGUGGACUUUUAUUUAAACGUCACCGUGCUAUCACAUACGAGUUCCUGGAGCUUUGUUUUCAAAAGUUUAACAUGUGUGUUAUAGGUUUCUACGCCGUUACUUUUCUGAUUUUAUGAUAAACAGGUUUAAGACAGAAUUUUUACAUAAACUUUGGUUAUGAUCUGGUAUCUGUAUCUAUUUUUUUCAAGUGUUUAUGCACCUCCCUACAGGGAAUCACUUCCAAAACAAACAACAAAAAAAAUUAACUAUAUGAUUUCCUACUUAUUUCUACCCAGAAACAAACUAAUAUCUUAAAACAUGAACGGUUGUUAUUGCAAAAAAAUCAAACAAAUUUAUUAGUUUGAUGGGAUUUAUUGUUUUCAAAGUCUAGCAUUUAUAAUAUAGAAUAAAUACUUUAAAAAUAUAGUAGAUCAAGAUGAGAUGGUCAACAUUUUAAGGAAAACAAGUGAAAAGAAAGAUGACUGAAAAGAAUAAGAGAAAUUCUUGGGUUCACCCCCUAGGUGAAUCUAUAGGUUCACCAACCAAUGAAAAUUGGUUAUUUUAUAUACAAUUUUUUCAAAAAAGGAACAAAAUUUUUAGAAUUUAUUUUUUUAAAUAAAAGGAUAAAAUAAAUAAAAAAACGUAUAAUAACAAUAAAAGAUGAUUUUUUUAAUAUUGUUAAAGCUGUUCAUACUAAACACUAAAUCCUAAACCCUAAACAUGAAACCCUAAACCCUUGGAUAAAUCCUAAACCCUUGGGUAAAGAGAUAUUCCAACGGUAUGAGUCUAUCCAUGGGUUUAGGAUUUACCCAAGGGUUUAGGGGUUUAGGGUUUAGUAUGAACGGCUUUAACAACAUUAAAAAAUUCAUUUCUUACAGCAGCUACUAUUUUUUUAUUUAUUUUUUAAUUUUACCUAAGGGUUUAGGAUUUAUCCAAAGGUUNNNNNNNNNNNNNNNNNNNNNNNNNNNNNNNNNNNNNNNNNNNNNNNNNNNNNNNNNNNNNNNNNNNNNNNNNNNNNNNNNNNNNNNNNNNNNNNNNNNNUUCUUCUUAAAUCGUUAUGGGCGUCAAUAUGCUUCUCCUUGAAGCCAGUUGCCUCCGGCGAUUUAGAAAAAAACUCAAGUUUUUUUCUGUAAGAUUUACAAGUAACGUGAUCUUAAUUAAUUUGUGAUCUUAGUCAUACGAUGUUUGCUUCUUCAUUUUGUUAAGCUCCUCGGUCUUUUUAAUCUGACAAUGGCUCGAACAAAUGCAGAUGAUGAUUUAAAGUCAAAGUCUUUACAAGCUGAGUUUGGCGAAAAGAGGAGCUUUGGUCGCGGUUUCUGUAUUACAGUCAAGAGAUUGCAACAUAUAAAAAAAUUACUAAUGCUCUGCUUCAUAGAAGGUAUGAAGCUACAUAUGGAGAAAUUCAAUGAUGGUAUUGUACUAAGAUAAAGGCUCCUUAGUAUAUUGAAACGAGAGUCUAUAGUGGGGACAUGUAAAGUUCCUAUGUUAUAAAUACCAUUUGAGUCAAAUAUCAUAUGUAAAUUUUUUCUUGAGUCGAUUUUAGUUUUCAACAAUGUUUUUGUUUUUAAAAAAUAGAUUAUUGUAUGAUAGUUUUAAGCAAUCUGCAGGAUAUUACUGAGAAAACAAAUCUCAUCCAUGCCCAACAGAGUGGUUAUUCCGUGUUGAUAUUGUUAAUAAAUGGAAAGAGUCUAACGGUUUCAGUGCUGCCCAGAUGUUUAGAGAAUAUCAAGAUGUCUGAUACGGCCUUACUGGUGAGAAGAGCAUUGUCUUUAAGCCAAUAUACUUUGUUUAUGGAUCUUCAAUAGAUUCUUUUGUGAAAAGGGGAUUAGAAGUCUUUUGGUUCAAUGGAAAAUUAGCUCAGCAGUCCAGUGAGAAAGUGUUGAAGGAUGCAAUGAAACCAUCACAAAACAGUAAGUAAAUUGAUAAGUUUCUGACAAAAAACUGUGAAUCAAGAAUAAAAUUAAAUAACUGUAUGAUAAUAUGACGUAUCAGGUUCUGCUUAUGUCUAUGAAAGCUGGCGUCGAACUGAAUCUAACCGCUUCUUCACACGUCUUCUUAACGGUACAGUUUAUCUUUACGAUUACGUUUAAGUUCUUCUUGAUCAUGAAGAGUUGAUGACAUAAAUGAAAAUUAAUAGCGUAGGGCAGAAAGAAUGGCAUGUGGAAGAAGCUUCAUUGUUAAAGUAAUACUAAAAAUUGCAUUCUCAUUGAGUUUCUUGCAUCGUAAGUAAUAUAUUUCUCAGUAACAUGGUAUGUUUUUGGAUGAUCCAGACCAGGUCACCUUCUACACUCCUGGGCGUGACAAGUCAGAUAAUAGGAAAACAAAAGCUUGCUACAUGUCUCUCUAAGGUAGUUUUGUUUCUUCCUGAAUUGGUCUAAACAAGCAGAAGAAGGCUAAGGGAAACCGGAACAUUAUCUUCUGGUUGGACACAGAGGUAAACCAAAUCAAUUUUUUAACCAUCUGAACUUUUUUUUCUAAUCAAACUGGUUUUACUUAACGGGGUUAUGAUUUUGUUGUAAUAUCUUUAAGCGCUUGGAAUGCAUUGGAUCGUUUGGUGCAAGAAAAUUUUAUGUAUAAGAAACCAGGAGAAGAAGGUGGUCAAGUAAAGUGAUGGAAGAUCUAACUCCAUUAAUGGAGCUAUAAUAGGAGGAAGCUUUAUGCUUGGAUCAACAAGUCUCCACCCAUAAAUGUAGACAAGACAAUCAGUUUUUUUUUUUUUGCAAUUAUUAUUUGUUCCCAAUAGUCCAAAAACUACCGUUGACGAAGUCUUUUUCUUUUGUAUUUCUCAUUCACUAUAAAUAAAAAUUUCAAAUUUCUUCUUGAUUUUGCCUUUAUGUGAUAGAUUAAAACAAAAGAUUUUGUUUGGUAUGUACAAGCAAAUGUUACUUUUAUGUUAGUUUCGACUGCGAUUAGCGUUUGAUGUUGUUUGAAAUGUCAAUUUGAUCUCUUUCUUUUGCAAUGGUGCAACUGAGAAGUUUCAUGCAGGCAUAAAAGUAUUCAAAUCUGUUUUAAAUUUGUGGCCAAUAUAGUGGAUAUUUACUCUUGGAUAUAGAGGAACUCUAUUAUAGAAGUAUACAUUGGAGCAAAUCCACCUCUAUAAUAGAGAUCUCUAUUUUAGAGGAAAAUAUAGAGAUAUACAUUGGAGAUGCUCUAAUAUAGUGGAUAUUUACUCUUGGUUGCAAUAGCUAAUGAUUCACGAUAUUGGUUGCAAAGGGAACAAUGGUACAUGAUCAAGCAACGGGCUAUUGGUGGCCACAAAUUUUUUUGUUAAAAAAUUAGUUUCUGAAUAUGUUCCAACUUAAAUUUUUUGAAGUGUGAUUUUACAAGUUUUCUGAAUAUUAAUAUAACGUUUGAAUCAUUGGAAAAUGGUAAUAAUUUCAUGAGAUUAACAGAGCAUAAACCCAUAUGAAAUUAAGUUGUGAGGGUUUUAGGAAAAUUGGAUAUUUAGUUCCAAAAUAGAGCAACGAUAUUAAGAUUAUUUUGUUUUUGUUAAAGAACAAUGUUAAGAUUUGUUAUCAUAUAAAUAUAUGUACUAAUAGUGUUGUCAUAUAAACAUAUGUACUUAUAGCAAAUCACACUUCAAAAAUGUUCAAUUGUAUCAAAAUGAUAGGAUACAUAUUUAUUUGUGUAUGUGCAUGACUUUUAUCGUAUCUCCCUUCAAAACUAUAGUAUGCAAUAAUGCUGACUUUCAUUUUACUAUUGAACAAACUUCCAAAUACGUUCCAACUAAAAACUCUAACAAUGUGAUUUCACCAUUUAUUUAUAAUAUCCCAUAAAAUAAAAUAAUAAAUCAAAAAGAACUAAAAAAUAUCCUAACAAACAAUGAUUUUAAACUCAUUUUCAAAUGGAAAUAAUGUUUCAUAAGCUCAAACCAACGAAAAGAUCUAAUCUCACAAAUAUUUUUUCUUUUGUGUUACCAAACUCAAAAACCAAAAAAAUAAUAUGAAAAUUAAUGGAAAAGCAAAAUGAGCAAUUAUACAUAAUCAAACAUAUAGUUAAAAAAGAGUAACACUAUCUAAUAAAUAAAAUAAAAUACAAAUAGCAUACAUAUUACUAUCUCCCAAAUAUCAACACACUUUUAAAUAAAGCAAAAUGGCAUCGAUACAUCGUCUCUUGCAUUUUUUAAUUAAAGAAAGUAAUUACAAAGUUUUGACGAACCGCAAUACACAAUAAAUCUAAAAAUAACAUAUGAUAAUGGAUUACCUCAAAUAAAUAAAUUUAAAAAAAAAAAUAAAAUACAUCGUCGCAAUAAAGAUAAAAUAUUAUAUCAUUCCAAGAACCACAACAAUAUAAUUAUGCAAUUUGGUCAACAACAGCUAAUUCAGCUCUCGAUAUCAUUAGAUAUUAUAUAAAUAAUGAUCACAUGUAAAUAAUGUUUCACAAAAGCAGAAAAUUAUGCUUUUGAAAAUAAAAAUAUGUCGAUCUAAACACUUAAUUACGUCAAAAUCCCGCGCGAAGCACGGGCUUGCCCUAGUAUUGCAUAACUAAGAGUUUAAUUACUUUCUCGCUUUCAACCUACAUGAAUUCUUAAGUUGGUGCAUAAUUACUCUGAAACUUGUUUUUAUCUAAAAAGUAUUAUUAAAAUAUAAAUUGAAAAUUGUUCAUUCAAUAAUAAAAUAAACUACAAAAUAUCAUUAGUUAUGAAUUUUUGAUAAAAGUAAAAAUUACAUUGAAAAAAAUGGAAACAUCUUCUAUUUUUAAACAUCAAAAACUUCCUUGUUUAAACCAGAUGGGGUAUAACUUUAUUACAUUAUAUUAAGAAAACAAAGAAACUUGUCCUAUGAUAGCAUCAAAACUUGGAAAUGUGUAAUACAAAUAUGACAAUGGCCAGCCGAACAAAUUAGUUAGCAUGGUCCUCUUCGUAGGGCACAAAAGCAUGUUUUUGAGAGUUCAGAGACUAAUCGAAACUGAUACGACGCAUCUUACAAACAAGAUUACCCGUAGGGAAAUCAAGUUCACUACCAGCGUCUGAUUUCAUCACAUCUUUGAGCUCAUCUCUUGGUGUAGCCACACACGUCUGGAAAGUUGCAAGCACAGGAGGAAUCGGCAUGGACAAGGCUGCAAGCACAUUGCUCAAGUACUCUAUAUCUAUACACAGUUGCUGUGCUCCUCGGUCUGAAAUGUAUUGGAUUCCUCUCAGUUGCUCCAUGUACAGAGCCGUUGCGCCUUCUGCUACCUUGAACAUCCACUCGGUUGCAAAGAACUGUGCGUCCUCGUUGUUUGAAUCACCAUUGGUUGAGAUUCCUUCAGCUAGAGGCUCAAGCUGCUGAGGUAAAGUCAGGAGAUAUUAUCCAACGCUUGUAACGUAAGCCUGAGGGUAUGAGCUGAAGUUUGGUAGAGCAAACGCAGUUUGUUCCUCCACAGAAGACCAGAUUGGUAGGCGAGAUACUUCCCCGAGUCUUUGCCUGACUUUUGAUAUG
rnacentral:lncRNA from 1 species